rnacentral:ncRNA from 1 species
UGGGGUCCGCGAACACCCCGUAAGGCCCCGGCCAAAGCAUCGC